rnacentral:lncRNA from 1 species
AAAUAUCAUCUAUACUCAUAAGAUUCUUAGAAUCUAGGUAACAAAAAACACAAAUAUACAAGCACAAAAAGUUUUGUAUUACAUUUUGUUGUCAUGUAAAAGAUAAUUGUAAAAAGAAAUUUAAAGAUAGCAAAUUGUUUAAAGAUAACAUGAUCAAGAAUCAUGACAAAAAUCAUAGGUUGACCUUAGAAAACUUUAAAAAAUCAAACAAGACAAAUUCAAAUAUUUAAAAAUCAAAAAAAAAAAUUUUAACAUCAAAUAACUAUAUUUCUUGAAAUAAAAAAAAUAGAAGUAUUUUAUCGAAAGAUAAAUCUGGAAAGAAAAACGUAUAUGGAAAUUAAUGCUAAUCAAUCAUAAUCAAUGACAAUUUAUACAAUACAUAUGGCAAGAAUUCAUCAAAUCUACUUGACUCUUAAAAAUCUUUGAACUUCAAAAUUUUUCUGAUUCCACACAAAUUCCAUUUCCAAUAGGCCCCCUUUAGAAACAUUAAGGUAUAAAUGUGAUAAUAACUUGGGCAAUAAAUAUUUAAAAUAAAUAAGGUAACUUACAUUUAAACUAUUCAUAAGUUACUUUGCAACUUGC